rnacentral:rRNA from 1 species
GACGAACGCUGGCGGCGUGCUUAACACAUGCAAGUCGAACGGAAAGGCCCUGCUUUUGUGGGGUGCUCGAGUGGCGAACGGGUGAGUAACACGUGAGUAACCUGCCCUUGACUUUGGGAUAACUUCAGGAAACUGGGGCUAAUACCGGAUAGGAGCUCCUGCUGCAUGGUGGGGGUUGGAAAGUUUCGGCGGUUGGGGAUGGACUCGCGGCUUAUCAGCUUGUUGGUGGGGUAGUGGCUUACCAAGGCUUUGACGGGUAGCCGGCCUGAGAGGGUGACCGGCCACAUUGGGACUGAGAUACGGCCCAGACUCCUACGGGAGGCAGCAGUGGGGAAUAUUGCACAAUGGGUGGAAGCCUGAUGCAGCAACGCCGCGUGCGGGACGACGGCCUUCGGGUUGUAAACCGCUUUCGCCUGUGACGAAGCGUGAGUGACGGUAAUGGGUAAAGAAGCACCGGCUAACUACGUG